rnacentral:SRP_RNA from 1 species
GCCGGGUGUGGCCAUGCACACCUGUAGUCCCAGCUACCUGGGAGGCUGAGAUGGGAGGAUCACCUGAGCCCAGGAGGUCAAGGUUGCAGUGAGCCAUGAUCAUGCCACUGCACUCCAGCCUGGGCAACAGAGUGAGACCCUGUCUCCA